rnacentral:rRNA from 1 species
CCUACGGGAGGCUGCAGUGAGGAAUAUUGGUCAAUGGACGAGAGUCUGAACCAGCCAAGUAGCGUGAAGGAUGACUGCCCUAUGGGUUGUAAACUUCUUUUAUAAAGGAAUAAAACGAGGCACGUGUGCCUGUUUGCAUGUACUUUAUGAAUAAGGAUCGGCUAACUCCGUGCCAGCAGCCGCGGUAAUACGGAGGAUCCGAGCGUUAUCCGGAUUUCUUGGGUUUAAAGGGAGCGUAGAUGGUUUGUUAAGUCAGUUGUGAAAGUUUGCGGCUCAACCGUAAAAUUGCAAUUGAUACUGGUAGUCUAGAGUACAGUUGAGGUAGGCGGAAUUCGUGGUGUAGCGGUGAAAUGCUUAGAGAUCACGAAGAACCCCGAUUGCGAAGGCAGCUUACUAAACUGUGACUGACAUUGAUGCACGAAAGUGUGGGUAUCAAACAGGAUUAGAUACCCUAGUAGUC